rnacentral:rRNA from 1 species
UACAGAGGAGCCAAGCGUUGUCCGGAUUGACUGGGCGUAAAGCGCACGCAGGCGGUUGCGCGCGUGGGGUGUGAAAUCUGGCCGCUUAACGGCCAGGCGCCAUCCCAUACGGCGCGACUGGAGGGCUGCAGAGGUCGAUGGAAUUGCCGGUGUAGUGGUGAAAUGCGUAGAGAUCGGCAGGAACACCCAGGGGGAAACCAGUCGACUGGGCAGCACCUGACGCUGAGGUGCGAGAGCGUGGGGAGCGAACAGG